rnacentral:rRNA from 1 species
AUUGAACGCUGGCGGCAUGCUUUACACAUGCGAGUCGAACGGCAGCGCGGGCUUCGGCCUGGCGGCGAGUGGCGAACGGGUGAGUAAUACAUCGGAACGUGCCCAGUAGUGGGGGAUAGCUCGGCGAAAGCCGGAUUAAUACCGCAUACGACCUGAGGGUGAAAGCGGGGGAUCUUCGGACCUCGCGCCAUUGGAGCGGCCGAUGGCAGAUUAGCUAGUUGGUGGGGUAAAGGCCUACCAAGGCGACGAUCUGUAGCUGGUCUGAGAGGACGACCAGCCACACUGGGACUGAGACACGGCCCAGACUCCUACGGGAGGCAGCAGUGGGGAAUGUUGGACAAUGGGCGAAAGCCUGAUCCAGCAAUGCCGCGUGUGUGAUGAAGGCCUUCGGGUUGUAAAGCACUUUUGGCGGGAACGAAAAGGACUGUGCCAAUACCACGGUUCGAUGACGGUACCCGCAGAAUAAGCACCGGCUAACUACGUG